rnacentral:tRNA from 1 species
GUGGUUAUGGCUCAGUGGUAGGGCACUCAUCUAGCACAUGUGAGGUGCUGGGUUCGAUCCUCAGCACUAUA